GAUGAACGCUGGCGGCGUGCCUAAUACAUGCAAGUCGAGCGAACAGAUGAGGAGCUUGCUCCUCUGACGUUAGCGGCGGACGGGUGAGUAACACGUGGAUAACCUACCUAUAAGACUGGGAUAACUUCGGGAAACCGGAGCUAAUACCGGAUAAUAUAUUGAACCGCAUGGUUCAAUAGUGAAAGACGGUUUUGCUGUCACUUAUAGAUGGAUCCGCGCCGCAUUAGCUAGUUGGUAAGGUAACGGCUUACCAAGGCAACGAUGCGUAGCCGACCUGAGAGGGUGAUUGGCCACACUGGAACUGAGACACGGUCCAGACUCCUACGGGAGGCAGCAGUAGGGAAUCUUCCGCAAUGGGCGAAAGCCUGACGGAGCAACGCCGCGUGAGUGAUGAAGGUCUUCGGAUCGUAAAACUCUGUUAUUAGGGAAGAACAAAUGUGUAAGUAACUAUGCACGUCUUGACGGUACCUAAUCAGAAAGCCACGGCUAACUACAUG
rnacentral:rRNA from 1 species